UGCGGCAUUCCAACGAUGGCAGGUUCCUCCGCGGAGCACGCUCCCGACUACAGGUCCGUCCUGAGCAUUAGUGACGAGGCAGCCAGGGUGCGGGCCCUGAACGAGCACCUGAGCACGCGUAGCUAUGUCCAGGGCUUCUCCCUGUCCCAGGCGGACGUGGACGCGUUCAGGCAGCUCUCAGGCCCUCCUGCCGACGCGCAGCUCUUCCACGUGGCUCGGUGGUUCAGGCACGUGGCCGCGAUCCUGGGCAGCCCCCGCGCCCCAGCCCCGCCCUGUGGGCUCCAAGCAAGCAGAGGCCGGCGCACGCAGCCCCCGUGGUCUCCUCCAGCCGGGUCCGAGCCGUGCCAGCUCCGCCUGUACAACAGCCUGACCCGGAGGAAGGACGUGUUUGUACCUCAAGACGGGCGGAGGGUGACGUGGUACUGCUGCGGGCCCACCGUCUACGACGCCUCCCACAUGGGGCACGCCAGGUCCUACAUCUCCUUCGAUAUCUUGAGAAGAGUGCUGAGAGAUUACUUCAAAUUUGACGUCUUUUAUUGCAUGAACAUCACAGACAUUGAUGAUAAGAUCAUCAAGAGGGCCCGGCAGAACUACUUGUUUGAGCAGUACCGGGAGAAGCAGCCCCAGGCAGUGCAGCUCCUGGAGGAUGUGCACGCUGCCCUGCAGCCGUUUUCAGCAAAGUUACGCGAGACCUCGGAUCCCGACAAGAGGCAGAUGCUGGAGUGCCUGGAGCGCGCGGUGAGGCUGGCGGCGGAGCCGCUGGAGGAGCCGGCACGGCGCGGCCUGGCGGGGGAGGAGCUGGACGGCCGCGUGCAGGUGCUGUUGGAAGAAGCAAAGGAUCUGCUUUCCGACUGGCUGGAUUCCAUGCAUGGCAGUGAAGUGAGCGACAAUUCUAUUUUCUCCAAACUGCCCAAGUUCUGGGAAGCGGAGUUCCACAAAGACAUGGAAGCCCUGAACGUCCUCCCUCCAGAUGUCCUAACCCGCGUUAGUGAGUACGUGCCGGAGAUUGUGGACUUCGUCCGGAAGAUUGUGGACAACGGUUAUGGCUACGUUUCAAACGGGUCCGUCUACUUCGACACGGUGAAGUUUGCCAACAGUGAGGGACACUGCUACGGGAAGCUGGUGCCCGAGGCCGUCGGGGAUCAGAAAGCCCUGCAGGAGGGGGAAGGCGACCUGAGUGUCUCGGCCGAGCGCCUGAGUGAGAAGCGGUCCCCCAGCGACUUCGCCCUCUGGAAGGCCUCCAAGCCCGGGGAGCCAUCCUGGCCAUGCCCCUGGGGAAAGGGGCGUCCAGGGUGGCACAUCGAGUGCUCGGCCAUGGCAGGCACCCUCCUCGGAGCCUCAAUGGACCUUCACGGAGGGGGCUUCGACCUCCGCUUCCCCCACCAUGACAACGAGCUGGCGCAGUCGGAGGCCUACUUUGAAAACGACUGCUGGGUCAGGUACUUCCUGCACACGGGCCACCUGACCAUCGCCGGCUGCAAGAUGUCCAAGUCGCUCAAGAACUUCAUCACCAUUAAAGACGCGCUGAAGAAGCACUCAGCCCGGCAGCUGCGCCUGGCCUUCCUCAUGCACUCGUGGAAGGACGCGCUGGACUACUCGGCCAACACCAUGGAGUCGGCGCUGCAGUACGAGAAGCUCCUGAACGAGUUUUUCUUAAACGUGAAAGACCUCCUCCGAGCCCCCAUUGAGGUAGCCGGUCAGUUUGAGAAGUGGGAAGACAAGGAAACAGAGCUGAACAAGAGCUUUUACGACAAGAAGGCGGCGGUCCACGAGGCGCUCUGUGAUAAUGUCGACACGCGCACCGUCCUGGAGGAGAUGCGGGCUCUGGUUGGCCAGUGCAACCACUACAUGGCAGCGCGGAAGGCCGCGAGGAGGAGGCCCAACCGCGCCCUGCUGGAGAGCAUCGCCCGGUACCUCACGCACAUGCUGAAGAUCUUCGGGGCCAUAGAAGAGGAAAGCUCCCUGGGUUUCCCCGUUGGAGGACCUGGAACCAGCCUCAAUCUCGAGCCCACAGUCAUGCCGUACCUGCAGGUGUUGUCGGAGUUCCGGGAAGGAGUGCGAAGGGUCGCCCGUGAGCACAGAGUCCCCGAGGUCCUGCAGCUCAGCGAUGCCUUGCGGGACGACAUCCUGCCUGAGCUGGGGGUGCGGUUUGAAGACCAUGAAGGACUGCCCACUGUGGUCAAGUUGGUGGACAGAGAUACCUUACUGAGAGAGAGAGAAGAGAAGAAAAGGGUGACCUCACCCCGUCCCAGGGCCCCUCUGCCACCUGUGUGCCUGUGACCGCCGAGUCCUCUCUGGCCCAGACUCCUGUGUCCAGCCGCCUACCUGAGGGCUCCGCUUGGCCAGGAAGCACCCGAAACCCAAGACAUCCAAGAGGGAACGCGUGACCUUCGUUCCCCAAACCCGUUCCUCCUUCCUGUCCGGGGCACACGCCGUCCACAUGGUGGCCCGAGCCCAAACCUCCCGAGGCAGCCUCGGGCCCCUCCUCACGGGCGCCCAGCCCAGCCCCCAGGCCCUCCCUCCCUGCCUCCUGCCGGGACGCUGCCUGCCUGGUGGGAAGUGGGCUCUGGCUCCCACCCGUCUCCUCCAGCCAGCCCCCCUCCCGCCCUCCCCAGGUGCCUGGGCCCCUCAGGGUUGGCCCUCGCCGUGCUGUCCCUGGUCCCGCACCCGACCGCAGCCCCCCUGCUGCCGGGCAGGUCUGGUCCUUUCUUCAUGUUGGUUGUGCUGCAGGUGACCUCACGCAUGGUGUCCAGUCACCGCCCCGUGUCGAGAGCAGGGCUGGGCUGAAGAAGAAAAGAGAAGGAAGAAAGAGGAGGCCGCCAGGAAGAGAC